rnacentral:piRNA from 1 species
UAAAAUUCUAUCUGUCUGCCUGCCUGCCUC